UCAGAAUAUUAGGUAUUCACAAGGCAGGUCACUUGUGCGAGCAGGAGACUAAUGAAUAGUGAAGACUGACAGCCUUGAUGGAAAAAAAGGGGCAGCUGAUAUUGUAAGAGAGCAUUUUAAAAACAAGCAUAUGUAAACAGUCUUGAAAGUGAAAGAGAGAACCCUGUGAUUUAUGAAUUUUCCUCUCUGCAGAAUUCACUCCUGCCAUCUACAGAAGUCUCCAAAGGUAGUGACACUAUCCAGACACUGCUAAGAAAUAUAGAAGACUACAGGUGGCAAUCUCUUCUCCUUUGUUAAAUAUUCUUUAACUGCACUCCUGAAAUGGCGUUGUAUUCUUUUCUACUGACAGCUUAAAUUUGAGCUGGUGACAUUUUCACCUUGUAGAUGAUUCAUUUGCAGUAAAUUGUGUUUAAAAAGUUAACAUUUGCCAUGCUGUGAUAUUGGAGAUACCACAACUAUUUUCUGUUGAGUACAGGAGAGAGCUGUGCUAUAGCACAAGCUAUAGUUUAUGAGAAAUGCUACCAUUAAAAACAGCAAUUGGUAUACCUGUAUUAAAAAGUGUGGGAUUCUGAAUAUAACUAUUAAAAUUAAUAUUCUAAGGCUUUUGUUUCAGCUAAUGUCUUGGCAGAGGUCCAUUGUAAUUAAGGAUUUACUACAAAUAUUUAGUUGAACAGGGAGACCAACAUUUUUCAUGCUGUUCUUCAUCCCAUGUUCUUUUGUUGUUAGCACUCGCUUUGUUCUUCUUUAACUCAAUUUUAUGCUGGAGAUCUGAGUCCAGGUACACACAGAUCAGGUUAGAAAAAUGCUACAAAAUACUCAGGAUUUCUUUCUUAAGCUGUGUGCACUAACUCUUAUUUGCCAAAAAUGCCACUCAAUUUCCUUUUCUUUUUUUUAAACAACCAACUAUCCCUUAACUGCAAAUAUUGAUUUAUUUUUCUUGCCUCUUCUACAUAAGGAUCCCUGUGAACGGUGUUCAAAGGUUUCUCUUGCUAACAUAGGAAGUAAGUACCUUUUUAUGAGCUUUGUUUCUCAAAGUUCACUUGUCGGUUGUCUGAGGUCAGGCAGUGACAGAAAAGGGAAAUAUGAAGAGAGAAUGAUAGAAUUUAGAGAUGGAAAACAUCUAUCAUGUCAUCUAAUCAGUCAAUCUUCAGCCAAUGCCAGACUGACCUGUAUUGUUAAUGUAUUAAUGAUUUCUAAAUCUAAUUUUUAAAAGUGCACAGUGCAGGGCAAAGGCUUCCAUUACACCCUUGCAGAAACUUUUACACAGAGUAAAUUCCCCAGUUCUUAUUUUCAUCUCACUAUUCCUAGUUACUCCUCUAUUAUGUGAGUGAUUUUUUAAUAUCCUUGAUAAUUUUUUCCUACUGUUCUCUUUCCUCUUAAGUAAACACGUGCAGCUUCCUAACAGCAGCCCCAGUUCUGCUAGGUACUGUAUGUGCAGAAGUGUAGGAGUCUGCUGCUACCAAGAAACAUGCAGGAUAAUGGCUGAAGUUUGUUCUGCAAAAUCCUUCCUAUUUGUCAGUCUUUUUUUGGUAAUAUAGUACCUAGAUCUGAAUUAUACAUUUUGGAAAGCUCACCCCAUAGCUCUAUAACGAGUGGAUGUUAUUUUCCCAAUCCAGGAUGGCGUAACUUAACACAGUGUUGAAACUGAAACCAUGUUGUGGUCUCUUUUGGCAUUACAAUUUGUCGUCUUUAAAUAUUUGCCCUUUAGAUUUGUUUUCCAACCUGAAUUUCCUUUUUUGCUUUCUUCAGUGUGCAUAUCUAUGCUAGUUUUUCUUUAUUAUUUCUCUUUUUGCUGGUGGGUGUUUGCAAUGCAUUCUAAUUUAGUAUCAUUUAGGAACUGCAUUAACAUGAUUAGUAUCUUUGACAGACUGACAACUAAAAUGGACUAUUUGCAUAAAGGGAAGUCACAGGUAUCAACUGUGAGUACCAUUACUUUAGUAUCUGAGCAUAAUAGAAUCAUAGAAUAGAAGGACCAGAAGGGACCUGUAAGAUCAUUGAGUCUGGUCCCCUGUCAUGGGCAGGAGGUGAUUGGGCUCAAACGAGUUCAAUGAGAUGCCUGUCCAGCCUCCUCUUAAUCUUUAAUGUCAUUAUCCUGAAAACACCUAGUGAAAUCGGGAACUGCUAUUACCACAUUUUAUGGAUAGGGAACUGAGACAAAGUGAUUAACAAAGGGACUUAGGCACUGCAUUACUCAGGGUGCAUCUACACGUGCCCCUAUGGCACUGUUACUGCAGUACCAAUGGCACCUUCCUCUUGGAAGUACUAAAUGACAGCAAAGUAACAGCCCAUACUGUGCCAUGCUGGUGACUCACAGUUAUUUUUAGCCACUAUGUCACCAUAGCAACAUGCUAUAUUGAGGGAACUCAUUGCUACAGUGAUAUAGCAGUGGCGUCACGGUUUUUGCCUGCAGAUGCUAAAUCGCCAUAGUGCAUUGCUAUGGCAAUGUAGCAUUAAGUGUAGACAUGCCCUCAGUAUUGUAAAGAGUAAUUUGUUGAUGCCUAGCCCUUGUUACACACACCUUGUUAGACAGGCCUUGUUAAGGCCUUGUUACACAGUAAGUUUAGGUGGCUUCUGGAGCUCUUAAUCCCUAGGAUGAAUACAUGUUAACACCUUUUAAGUGGUUUAAAGCACUUGUUAUCGACUCCAGGGCCAAAGUUAUACCACUCUAGGGCAAGAUUAUCUCUAAUCUGCCUAAUAGGUCAGCUCACCCCCCAGCUGUGGGGCAGACUCCGCCAAAAAAAGGAUCAGGCCUCUCAUCACGUCUGCCUUCAGCAGGCACCUGCAGCCACCAGGACACCUAGGGACACCUGGGAAUGAGCUGGUUUGCCCCUGGGGCAGCACAGGGAGGUUCAUGCUUGUGGAUGUAGGUGCCUAAAUUCCCCCUAAAUCUCAUUUUAGGUGUCCAGGUUGGAUUGAGUUCUAUGUACUUUUGCCAAGGUCAAACUGGCACUUUGUGUUAGGGCACAGACCUGACUCUGGGUCUCAAGUCCUAAAUUAGUGACUGAAUUACUGGACCACCCUGUAGACUGCAAUGGGAUCGGUGUCUGCUGCUCUUCCUUUUGACCAGGAAAGAAGAGAGGAUGGCAGGAUCUUUCUCUAUGGCUAGGAACAUACAUUACACAUAAACUGGUUUAAGUGAUCAGAAACUGGUUUAAACCUGUAACAAAACAGAUAUUCAGUGCACAUAAACCAGUUUGAAAAUGGCUGAAACCAAUUUGAGAUAAACCUGGUUGAAUGUAGUAUCAGAUUUAACUGAUUUCAGUCAAAUCGGUUUAUGCAAUGUUUGUCCCAGACCCCUUGUUAGUUUAAGAUAACCAGACUCCCCCAUCAUCCCAGUAUGCUCUCUGGGCUGUACAGGGCUGUCUGCUCCAUAGCAGAGCUGGCUCCUACCCUCUGCUCCCUGGCUGGAGCUCCAGCAGAGACUGCAGGCACAGUAGGGUUUGCCUGGCUUCCCCCUGCCCUAGUCCUCCCCACCCUCCUUGCUGCUCAAGCAGGAAUCCCCCCUCCCACCUUCCACAGUAUGAACCCCAGCCCCACAGACCCGAGGUAUGCGGUGUGCUAGCUAAUGCCAAGAGGUGUCUGUGUGUGUCUCCUGUUUCAUUGGGACAGGCAAACAACAGUGUUGGCUUAGGGCUUUUUGGAGCUAAUCAACAGGUCAGCUGGUAAGCUGUUUAAGAAGUGUUUAAAUGAAUGGAGAGAGGUUAUUGUUUUUCUGAUGAAGUGAUAAACACUGUUAUCAGCUCUCUGUCAGUUUGAUACAGACAGUAUAAAGAAGCAGGGAAGGAGAUUGAAAAGCUCCAUAUCAUCAACAGAUGUAUGCACUGCACCUCCACCCCCGCUUGCCUCAGAGUGGUACCAGGGGUCUGUGGUCUGGCAACACUCACCCUUUGAGCAGCCAAUGGGGAAAAGCCUGGGUUUGGGCAGCUGGGCCUCCCUAAUCAGAAGUCCUGCUGGGGCCUGGCCAUGCCCCCGCCCCCCAGCUCAGUUCUGUGGAAGUGAAGGGAUGGCUGCUUUAGCACCCCCCAGCUUCUAGCCUGAGACACUUCAGGUAUGUGCCUGAGUUUCCUCAGUCCAGAGAGAAUGCUGGUCCAGUUGCAAACCAGUUCAGCCUAGCCAGGUUAGAGUAACCUGCAAAGAUUGAAUCUAUUCAGGCUCAGGCUUUUUGAAUGUCUGUUCCUAGCCUAUAUCCUUAUCCUCAUCUCGCAUUCCCCAUUUCUCUUUCUCUCUUCUAUCUAAUUAUGCAAAUUUGAUUUUUGUAUUUUGUUUGGAAAGUGUUUUCAAAUAUGACCUAUAUUUCUUUUAAAAAUAAAGUUAUUUUGUAAAGG